CCUACGGGUGGCAGCAGUGAGGAAUAUUGGUCAAUGGACGCAAGUCUGAACCAGCCAAGUAGCGUGCAGGAUGACGGCCCUCCGGGUUGUAAACUGCUUUUAGUUGGGAAUAAAAGGGGGCUCGUGAGCCCCGUAUUGUAUGUACCAUCAGAAAAAGGACCGGCUAAUUCCGUGCCAGCAGCCGCGGUAAUACGGAAGGUCCGGGCGUUAUCCGGAUUUAUUGGGUUUAAAGGGUGCGUAGGCGGACGCUUAAGUCAGCGGUAAAAUUGCGGGGCUCAACCUCGUCGAGCCGUUGAAACUGGGUGCCUUGAGUGGGCGAGAAGUACGCGGAAUGCGUGGUGUAGCGGUGAAAUGCAUAGAUAUCACGCAGAACUCCGAUUGCGAAGGCAGCGUACCGGCGCCCAACUGACGCUGAAGCACGAAGGCGUGGGUAUCGAACAGGAUUAGAUACCCCGGUAGUC
rnacentral:rRNA from 1 species